GCCAAAAUUGACCCCUCGCGAUUUCACCAAACAAAAAACGAAACCCCUAAAAUGUUUGAGAACUCCAUGCUGCCGAAACUCUCCAUGCAAAGUUGAACAUUUUUCAGGCUGCCACCAACGUCCUCCACGCCUAAACCCCAGAUGAUCGAAACUGCCUUCACCCCUCUGUCAUGCGAAUGUGAACGCGAAACCCUCCACGCGAAUGUGAACACAAACGUUGUUCAGGCUACCACCUUCAAAACUGAUCGUCGGCUGAUCAAACUCUACCACUGAAACCUUCACCCUGCUGUUUGAAACGCUGGCCUCCGCCAAUCGAAACCCUCACUGAUGAAACCCUCCAUGCGAACGAUUCCCUCUUCCAAUACUCUCACCUUCAAAUGGAGAAAUUUGCUUCCAUGAUUGUCGAUGCAGGCUUCCAAAGGUCGAGUUUGAAAAUCUUGUUGGAGGAGUGGUUACUAUCCAUUCAAGCUUGAAACUUUAGAACCCAGCUAGCUUUUACUUCCACUUAUCACUUCGUAGCCUACAAGUUGUUUCAUUUGUGCCUAAUCUUUUCAAUUAAUAAAAUGCUUAAUAGAUGUUAAAAAUGAGCCCCCAUACAUUUCCAUUGGGUUGGGACACUAUUUGCUAUAAUUGCAUAGGGUGAUAUUGUACUAUAUAGACUCAAAGAGGACAACAUCACGGAUAGAUAUAUGAUACAUAACUAACAUGUUGAUACAAGGAACUCUACUCAUAAAUCGAGUUAGACGAGGUGCGGAUUGAGUUGACUGAAUUUUUUGGUUGCUACAUGUGAUCGUAGGUGCUCGUACAAUUUGGUCAUUUUGAAUGUCUUUAUUCUGGCUUAUCAAUUUCUUGAUAUACUUCAUAUUCAUAUAGGUAUAAUAUUUUUUGGAAUUGUUCAUAUAUGCAAGGUAGUGGGGAGGGGGGCUUAAUUGUAGUUUUGGAAUGGAGGUUAAUUGUUUCAUUUGUUCAUAUGGUUUUGAUAGUUGUUAUGAGUAGAAUGAUAUAGUUUUGUUAAUAUGGGGUAGAUGGAUAGUUUUGAUAGAAGUUUUGGAAAAGUAAAUUUUGAAACUGUUCAUAUUGGGUUGACUGUUAGAAUUAUGUUCUUUAUAUUCUUUUGGAAGUGUCCAUUUGAGUCCGUCCAUAUUCUUCUAGUUAACUUAGAAAAUCGUUUAUGGAGUUGUG